AUUCUGGUUGAUCCUGCCAGUAGUUAUAUGCUUGUCUCAAAGAUUAAGCCAUGCAUGUCUAAGUACACACGAAUUAAAAGUGAAACCGCAAAAGGCUCAUUAUAUCAGUUAUGGUUCCUUAGAUCGUUAACAGUUACUUGGAUAACUGUGGUAAUUCUAGAGCUAAUACAUGCAAUUAAAACACGGACCUUCUGGGACGUGUGCUUUUAUUAGACUAAAACCAAGCGAUCAAUUGAUCGUUAUAUUGGUUGAACUCUAGAUAACAUGCAGAUCGUAUGGUCUUGUACCGACGACAGAUCUUUCAAAUGUCUGCCCUAUCAACUUUUGAUGGUAGUAUCUAGGACUACCAUGGUUGCAACGGGUAACGGGGAAUCAGGGUUCGAUUCCGGAGAGGGAGCCUGAGAAACGGCUACCACAUCUAAGGAAGGCAGCAGGCGCGUAAAUUACCCACUCCCAGCUCGGGGAGGUAGUGACGAAAAAUAACAAUACAGGACUCAUAUCCGAGGCCCUGUAAUUGGAAUGAGUACACUUUAAAUCCUUUAACAAGGACCAAUUGGAGGGCAAGUCUGGUGCCAGCAGCCGCGGUAAUUCCAGCUCCAAUAGCGUAUAUUAAAGUUGUUGCGGUUAAAACGUUCGUAGUUGAACUUGUGCUUCAUACGGGUAGUACAACAUACAUUUGUAGUUAGUACUAUACCUUUAUGUAUGUAAGCGUAUUAUCGGUGGAGUUCUUAUAUGUAAUUAAGUACUUGUACUUUUUUAUAUAUUCCUCCUAUUUAAAAACCUACAUUAGUGCUCUUAAUCGAGUGUUUUUGUGGGCCGGUACAAUUACUUUGAACAAAUUAGAGUGCUUAAAGCAGGCUUCAAAUGCCUGAAUAUUCUGUGCAUGGGAUAAUGAAAUAAGACCUCUGUUCUGCUUUCAUUGGUUUUCAGAUCAAGAGGUAAUGAUUAAUAGAAGCAGUUUGGGGGCAUUAAUAUACCAAAAAAGGUAUAUUAAUUUUGGUCAAAAGUGUGCAACGCAUAGAAGGAAGCAUCUCUGACCAUAUAAAGUAUAUAUAUUCUUGAUCAGCACGACGAGACGAGUUCAAAUCGCCAUGUCCGUCCGUCCGUCCGUCCGUCCGUCCGUCCGUCCGUCCGUCUGGAUCAACG
rnacentral:rRNA from 1 species